UAUACUAAAACCCAAACGGUGGAACACUGUUCAUGAACAGUGAAAGUAACAGUGUCGUUCCGAUUCUGCCCUCCCAUGUUUACUCUAAUCUCAGUUUUGCCCUUCUGUAUUCUAUUUGCUUCCAGCGUCUUCCAUUUUGCUCCAUCACUUUUCUGCUUCUCUUCCUCCCUCUUUCUCUUCCCCUCUCUCUGCCUCAAAUUCAAUCCGAUCAUCUAAAAACGUAGUUCCUCUAUUUUUCUCCGCCGUUUUCCAGGAAUCGAUCAUUGUUGCUGCUGUAGUAGUUAUCGUCCACGCAGUCCAUCACCGCCCGACCACACAAACCUUAACGGCGGCCGGAGAACCACAGAACCAAGAGUAAAAAAAAAAAGAGAGCGGGAAGCAGCCAAAAUACAGAGAAGAUGGCAAGAGAGAGGAGAAAUGGAAAGCAGAAAAACAAAAACCCUGUUGCAAACGUGGUGUGCUAGCGAGAUUUCUCUGUCUUUCAUUGCUGGCUGCUUUGGCUUUUUGAUUGUUCAAGAUAUUUCUUUCCGUUUUCUCUCCUGACUUCCCCUUGCAUGCAUAGCCCUGCAUCCCUGCCACGAUCUCGCCUUCGAUUCCAACAAGUGCGAUCAAUCUCGCCCUUCAAUUCCCUGCAUAAUCCUCCUUUUCCAGGCCUCUCCGCCCAUCUGUCCUGAACGAAACCGUGGAUCGACUGCUUCCCUUGAAAUCAAACCUUAAUUUUGCCCCCAAACGAAUUCGAACCCAGCCAAACUCAAAUCCCUGCAAUUUUUUUUGCCUUUAAAAGGUUUGGAUCGGUGCCGAUUGAUGUUGGAUUUUGUGAGGCUGGAUUUCUUACCUCUAAGAUUUGUUGGUGUUUUCUCUAUAUUGUUAGAUCUGUGGCACGGUGUGUCUCCAUAUCACCACCAAUGGAAGAUUCGUGUUUGUGGAGGUGAUUUUAGACGGAUUUCAAGCUGGAUUGCAAAGAUAAGGGUUUGGGAGUUCACUAAAAUCGCUUCGAAUUUGCUUUAGUUUUGAUUAGAAGAGGAGGCACAGGCAACUGGUCAAGAGACUUGGCUCGAUUUUCGACGGGGGACAAAGAUUUAGAUGGAUUCUAGAUGGAAAUUAAUCGCAGAGGUAAACGUCAACAGGUUGCUUCCAAUUUCUCCCUUUCUAUAUAUUUUGAAUGAUUUAAUAAGUGUGUUAGGCUUUUUUAUUUAGGUUAUUUGAGUUCUUUCAGUCUGCAAUGAAUUAUAAUCUGUAUGAGCAUAUACUAUAAGGUUCUUCUACCUUACUAACAUUCAUGAAAGUUAAUUUUAAGUGGAAUUUUUUUGAAAGCAUUUACAUUUUUUCCUUAAGCUUUUUUCAUGCUUUAAUUAGGUUGCCUUGCUAUGUUGUUAAUGGAUGAAUUCAAAAUGUGAAUAAGAAAGAUAACUUGCUGACAUCUGAUGGAAUUAUGAAUCAUAGUAUUGUCUGACAAUAUAAAGAGUAGGAUUCUGAAAUCAUGAGAUUUGACAUUGUAUGUUAUACUGAAUUAAGAGCACACUUUCAUAUAGAAUUUCAUUUAUCUUUACUCAAUCUAACAGUAGUUCUACCAAUUUUUAUCUGAUUUCUUUUAACAUCUUUCUCUUUUUUUCUCAUUCAAAUAUGCAUUACUGAUGCUUUGUUAUGCACCUAGCUCUUUGCUUCUGUUGCCUACUAUCAUUUUCUACUAUUGUAAUAGAACUUUUUACAUGUUUUAUGUACUUUUAAAACCCGCAGCAACACGCGGGCUCUUUUACUAGUUGUAAACUAAAACUAGUUCCUUUUCUAAUGAUAUGAUUUAUAAUCAUCAUAAAAGAUUAAAGAACCAUUUCAAACAUUUAUGGCUCGUUUACUAAGCUACAGUCAGAUUAUGAAGAAUUGAAAUGGAGAGGAGUUGGAAAUUGAAUAGGUUGGAAUCAGAAUUAUCUGAUUCAUGUUGAAGAUGAUUACUAAACUAUGUGGAAUCGGAAUGAGAAUGUUGCAAAUUCUAAAUUAGUUGUUUACAAAUUCAACUGAAUUGGAAAAAAAAAAAACAGUUUGAUUACUAAAAUACUCUUGUACAUAAUUCUCCUUGUAUAACAGCAAGAGUGUCGCAAUCACCACCAGUUGACUCCAUCUCCUUUUUUGAACAAACGAUAUUAGCUACACUAAAUGGGAGGGGAUGGGCUAAGCCUCAUAAUGGGCUAGCAAUAAUAUGGUUCAAAUUCGCUUUUGAUGAGAAUCGAACCUAAGACCUCUUACUUACAAGUGAAGAUGAAUAUCACUAGACCGUAAUACUAAGUGGCAAUUGACUCCAUCUCCUUACAUAAGGGAUAAGGAUGUAAGGAUAUUUUGGGUAGAAAAAGUUGAUUCCGAAUGUAGGCUUUAUCUCAGAAUCCAAAUACUACUUAUAGUUCGAUCGUCUGAUUCCGAAAAAGUGAGUGUUCGACUCCUCAUUUUAGGUGGGGUCCCACAUGUAUUUCCAUUCCCCGAGUGUUGGUAAAUAUUUGAAAUGGGUGCAAUUUCCAUUCCCCUUAUGUAGAAACACAUUGAUUUUAAAUUGAAAUUUCAACGAAUCAAGUCAAUUAAUUAUAUACAAUAACGAUUUUUCUUUAGAAUUUGGCUGCGUAGUAGAUCUUCUUACUUUAUUAUGCCGAUAUUAAAAUCACUACUGUUUGAGUAUUUUUUGCUUAUAUGAGUUUUUCCAAAUACUUCAAUGUUGGGAUCAAUUACUAAUUCUAAUUUAAUACAAAUUUAUAGGGAAAACUUGAUAUAAGUCUAAUUUUUUUAGCCAAUAGUAGAAAUAGUCAAGUUUAUUAAAUUAAGUCCAAUUUGUUAUAUUUAAUUAUUUAAUUAUCAAUAGUUAUCUAUUCAAUGAUAAGAUUUAUUAUAAAAAUCAAAUUUCUUCCCAAUUAUCUUUUUGCUUAUUUCUUUUUAUUUAUCUUUUUGUUAUUUCUCGUUCUUUCUCCUGCUUUAAUCCCCAUUUAUAGGUUUUAUUUUUAAUUUUUAUAAUCAACCUAUAUUACAGGUUAAUUAUAUUUAUCUACCUAUUUGACAUAUUCUUUUUUAUAAUCAACUUGUCACAGAUUAAUGUGUUUUGCUUGUAGGUAUGUUAUGUUUUUCUACCUUUUAAUAAGGUUUCAUAUCUCACGUAUAUGUAUUAUAUACAUUCAUAUAUUUGUUACUUGAGUUAGGAUAUAAUGUUUUACAGAUAAAUUUAUGUUAGUAUAUUAGUUUUUUUGUUAUAAGAUAUUAAAUAUAUUUUUUGGAGUUGGAAAAUGCAUAAUUAGAAGAUUUUAAUUGAUUUUUAAUAUUUUUAGAAAAUAUAAAAAGAGUAUAAAAGAAAUAAAAAUAUAUAAUUAGAUAAUUGGACUCACUCCUAAAAACACUUUAUGUUUUUGGAACUGGAUCUAAAAGUCCCAAAUUUAUAUUAUUUUUUGGGAAUUAGUUGACUCGGUCCUUAUAAAUAAAUUCAACAACAGUAGACCAUAUUCAGACCGUAGUGUAGCUAGGUUAGAAAUGGCCAGUUGCUUUACAGCUCCCGACGCCGCUCUUGGACCGCACGCCAAUGGCUGUGGGUCGAGUUCCGCCGUUCGUUCCUCCACCUGGUCAGAAUAUAGAACGUGAGGAGGUCGGUGUUCUAGUCGUCCGAGCACAAGACAAGAGAACCCCCAAGCGGGGUCCAGAACCCGCCGGCAUAAGAAGUUCCCUUGGGUCCGAACCAAAGCGAAGGCACCAUGAUGCUUUACGAUCUCGAAAACAUUGUUGACUUGGAGGUGAUGAAGGAAUGAGAAGAAGGUAGCUCUGCUUCGACGAAGAUACUGAAGGGAUGUGAUGAAGGUGAAAGGCUACAAGUCUGCAUUUCGAAGAAGACCAAUCCAGCCGCUGAGGUGAUGCUGGAAGAGUGGCUGGAUGAGAUGGGACUUGUUAAUGCAGCUAGCCAUAAUAACAUUCAUAGAAUGUUAGGAUACUGCAAUGAGGAAACGGGUAUUUACGUAGUGUCAUAAAGUAUGAAUGAGAAUUUAAGAAACAUUAUUAGUGAGAAGAAGAAAAUACUAGCUUGGGAAGAAAGGCUAGAGAUAGCCUUAGCAUGUGCCAAAGCAUUGUCUGCCCUUCACUCCCUGGCCAUCCCAAGUGGAUUUGUCGUCUUCAGGUCUUCUAAAGUCCUGUCAGAUCAUGAUUGAUGUAAAUUCCGUAAUUUUUUGCGGCAUCUUAGACCUAAACUUUGUCACUUUGGUGUAACUAUGGUAGAGCCUGCUAGGCACGGAGACAUCAUAUCGAAGGCAUUGAGGCAGAAGAAGCAGGGUCUCUAUGAAACUCCAAAAUAUAAAGCAAUAGGUAAUUCAUCAUAUAUUUGUAUAUUGUUCACACUGCUGCAAUGCUCAUAGUUUAGCUAUUUUGACCGGUUGGUUAUUUCCAUUUACUGAGAAAAGGCGUUGUGUGGCCUAAAUAUAAGGUCAGUUGAUUUGUCUUCUAAUACUGAGGUUCAUUCAAUGGAUAUGUUAUCCCAAAAUUGGCGCAAUAAACAUUCUGAAUCUUAUUGGAAGGUGCCUGGAUGAUGACUCUGACAAGCGACCAACAAUGUAGAUCAUAAUGAAGGAAUUAGGCAACCUACUCUGGAGAUUCCAUGCGGAAAAGUAGCAGCAGCAGAAGUUCAUAUGAUGAGGGGUUGGCUGGCUUGCAUGGUAAUUCAAAUCAGAACCCAAUAUGCAUUUUCUUUGACUGGUUAGUGUCUUGUUUUUACUUUAUCUUUCUCGAGUACUUGACUUAAUUUUCAAGAGUGGUGCUACCGCUGGUUGGUUCUCAAUUUGACUUGUGUUUUAAAUAAUUGAAUCGGAUUUUA